AUUGAACGCUGGCGGCAGGCCUAACACAUGCAAGUCGAGCGAGCGGCGGACGGGCGAGUAAUGUAUGGGGCCUGCGCGAUAGAGGGGGAUAACUACGGGAGACGGCGGCUAAAACCGCAUAUUAAGGGAGAACCCAUAUGGGAGUAGCUAGUAGGUGGGGUAAAGGCUCACUUAGGCGACGAUCUCUAGCUGGUCUGAGAGGAUGAUCAGCCACACUGGGCCUUAGACACGGCCCCAGCUCCGACGGAGGCAGUCGUGUGGAAUAUUGCACAAUGGGCGCAAGCCUGAUGCAGCCCUUCCGCGUGUAUGAAGAAGGCCUUAGGAUUGUAAAGUACUUUCCGCGGGUGGGCGUUACCCGCAGAAUAAGCACCGGCUAACUCCGUGCCAGCAGCCGCGGUAAUUC
rnacentral:rRNA from 1 species